AACGCAUAUUGCGCUCUUUGGUAUUCCGAAGAGCAUGCUUGUUUGAGUAUCAGUAAACACCUCAAAUCUUUUGUUUUUUUCAAGAGCUUUGGACUUGAGCAAACCCAACACCUUCUCUCACGAUUUGGUGGCGGGUUGCUUGAAAUGCAGGUGCAGCUGGACAUUCUCCUGAGCUAAAAGCAUAUUUAUUUAGUCCCGUCAAACGGAUUAUUACUUUUGCUGCAGCUAACAUAAAGGGAGUUUUGACCGUAUUGGCUGACUGAUGCAGGAUUUCACAGAGUCGGAAACGAUUCUGUCAAACUCGAUCUCAAAUCAAGUAAGAUUACCCGCUGAACUUAA
rnacentral:misc_RNA from 1 species